GUCGCUGCAAAUUCAGCGACCGGGUUUGGCGACCCGAGAUACUUGGCGCACAGGCGCCCCAACCGACAGCAGGCGCUUUUUUU
rnacentral:sRNA from 1 species